AUCACUUUGCCCAGCGUCAAGAAACCUAAUACAAGCAAAUUGUAUAAAUAGAUGGAUAGGCAAAUAGGAAUUGAAUUGCUAAAAGUAAAUAUUUUGGAAAUGCCAGAAAACCAGACUCACAAACAUGGCAUGCAUAUCUAGGAGUAUAUAAAUAGCUGGACCUAUAUACCUGCCAAAGUGUACCAGCUAUGAAGGUGACUUUGCUCUGUCCGGCUUUUUUUCUAUAUUAUUUUACUGGAAAAUGUACUGUCUAAUUAUCUUGCAGUGCAGCCGUUUUUACCUGUUUCUUGUCUUGCAAGAUUUUCAAAGAACAAAGGCUGGGAAUUUGACAGUAACCAAGUCACCUGCACAUGUAACAGACAGAGAUUAAUGCAGCCUGUCAUUUUCUCUCUAUUGAUCUUAUUUUAUUUAAAGUAGAAAUGCCAUUGGUAAUUUUAAAAGUUCUUAUGUAGUUUGUCUUUGUUGCACUAACUUGGCUCUCCCCAAGUCAAAAGGGUAAUCUAGAUGUGGACCUCGUGCUCACUGUGCCUAGAGUGGUGUUUGCUGCACCUCGCUGACGAGGCCCAAAGAAGGCUGAAAUGAUCAUCUGGAAUUGCUGUAUAUCUCGUGCAGAGAGAACAUGCCAGCAUUUUGGUUCUGGACUGCCAUUAUUGGUGGGUGCUUUGGAACCGUUUCUCUCUGUAAUAGCACAAGUGAGCAAAACCUUUUUUUUUGAGGGGUUUUACCAAAGGCAAACUACUAAGUUCAUCUAAGCUCUUGUCCAUUCUCAGAGUUUUUAUAUUCUUUGUUUUAAUUAUAUAUUGCACUGGAAUUUCAUACGUGCAUUUUCCAUAGAGCACCAGUACAACUCCUGUUCAUUUACCAGGAGAUUGCAAGAGGAAAAUUGAGGUGCAAAGGGGAAUGGCUUCAUAAAAGUAUAUCUACUUUCUCUUUCUCCCCCUCAAAAACAAUCAUGCAAGGAUAAUAGGUUCAGUGGCCUAGAGGAACACCAACUCCCCUAGUAUGCAUACUAGAAGACCAUGAUAUUUUCAAUCCAUAAACUCAUGGUACUUACUCCCUACCAGGGCUACAAACAAAAACAAUAGUCUGUUGCUACAUAUUUCCCACUAACCUAGUUUUUAAUACAAUAUAUAAGAAAAGGUGAGAGCACACAAGUUAUAUAACUACCACAAUGUAGCAACUCUGUGUGGCAUCUAUAAAUAACAGAAAAAAAGACCAUAGCAUUGUACAGUAAACAUAUUAAAGUGUAUAAGUGCUUUUUGGUCCAACUCACAUGAUUCUGGGCCACUUAAAAUAAGCUGGCUCAGACUAGAUGCUUAAUUUGGAGGACCCAGUGGAUGCAGACCUCACACAAACUACAAAAUCCACUUUAUCCGAUGGUGACCGGCUGACGUCAUGUCAGGACGCCCUACGUUUAUUGGCAUCCUUGCGUCCCGACGUGAAGACCAUAAUGGGUUGUUCCAUCCUCGGAACCGUGGGUGUCAUACACGUCGGACAGGGUGGCGAACUGACG